AGGCCCUGGCACAGGGUGCCCAGAGAAGCUGUGGCUGCCCCUGGAUCCCUGGCAGUGUCCAAGGCCAGGUCGGACAGGUCUUGGAGCAGUCUGGGACAGUGGAAUGUGUCCCUGCCCAUGGCAGGGGGUGGAAGGGGG